GACGAACCGAGCGAACGUUGUUCGGAAUCACUGGGCUUAAAGGGCGCGUAGGCGGGUGCUCAAGUCCGUGGUGAAAUCCUCCGGCUCAACCGGAGAACUGCCUCGGAUACUGGGUGCCUCGAGGGUGGUAGGGGUAUGCGGAACUAUCGGUGGAGCGGUGAAAUGCGUUGAUAUCGAUAGGAACUCCGGUGGCGAAGGCGGCAUACUGGACCACCUCUGACGCUGAACGGCGAAAGCUAGGGGAGCAAACGGG
rnacentral:rRNA from 1 species